rnacentral:rRNA from 1 species
AUAAAAACCAAUGCCCUUCGGGGCUCUCUGGUGAUUCAUAAUAACUUCUCGAAUCGCACGGCCUUGUGCCGGCGAUGGUUCAUUCAAAUUUCUGCCCUAUCAACUUUCGACGGCUGGGUCUUGGCCAGCCGUGGUGACAACGGGUAACGGAGGGUUAGGGCUCGACCCCGGAGAAGGAGCCUGAGAAACGGCUACUACAUCCAAGGAAGGCAGCAGGCGCGCAAAUUACCCAAUCCCGACACGGGGAGGUAGUGACAAUAAAUACUGAUACAGGGCUCUUUCGGGUCUUGUAAUUGGAAUGAGUACAAUUUAAAUCCCUUAACGAGGAACAAUUGGAGGGCAAGUCUGGUGCCAGCAGCCGCGGUAAUUCCAGCUCCAAUAGCGUAUAUUAAAGUUGUUGAGGUUAAAAAGCUCGUAGUUGAACCUUGGGCCUAGCCGGCCGGUCCGCCUCACCGCGUGCACUGGCUCGGCUGGGUCUUUCCUUCUGGAGAACCGCAUGCCCUUCACUGGGUGUGCC